rnacentral:rRNA from 1 species
AGCGAACGCUGGCGGCAGGCCUAACACAUGCAAGUCGAACGAACUCUUCGGAGUUAGUGGCGGACGGGUGAGUAACACGUGGGAACGUGCCUUUAGGUUCGGAAUAACUCAGGGAAACUUGUGCUAAUACCGAAUGUGCCCUUCGGGGGAAAGAUUUAUCGCCUUUAGAGCGGCCCGCGUCUGAUUAGCUAGUUGGUGAGGUAAAGGCUCACCAAGGCGACGAUCAGUAGCUGGUCUGAGAGGAUGAUCAGCCACAUUGGGACUGAGACACGGCCCAAACUCCUACGGGAGGCAGCAGUGGGGAAUCUUGCGCAAUGGGCGAAAGCCUGACGCAGCCAUGCCGCGUGAAUGAUGAAGGUCUUAGGAUUGUAAAAUUCUUUCACCGGAGACGAUAAUGACGGUACCCGGAGAAGAAGCCCCGGCUAACUUCGUG